rnacentral:rRNA from 1 species
GAUGAACGCUGGCGGCGUGCCUAAUACAUGCAAGUCGAGCGAACGGACGAGAAGCUUGCUCCUCUGAUGUUAGCGGCGGACGGGUGAGUAACACGUGGAUAACCUACCUAUAAGACUGGGAUAACUUCGGGAAACCGGAGCUAAUACCGGAUAAUAUUUUGAACCGCAUGGUUCAAAAGUGAAAGACGGUUUUGCUGUCACUUAUAGAUGGAUCCGCGCCGCAUUAGCUAGUUGGUAAGGUAACGGCUUACCAAGGCAACGAUGCGUAGCCGACCUGAGAGGGUGAUCGGCCACACUGGAACUGAGACACGGUCCAGACUCCUACGGGAGGCAGCAGUAGGGAAUCUUCCGCAAUGGGCGAAAGCCUGACGGAGCAACGCCGCGUGAGUGAUGAAGGUCUUCGGAUCGUAAAACUCUGUUAUUAGGGAAGAACAUAUGUGUAAGUAACUGUGCACAUCUUGACGGUACCUAAUCAGAAAGCCACGGCUAACUACGUG